rnacentral:lncRNA from 1 species
AUCAUCAAAGGAAACAUGCUCAUAUUUUGCUUUGCUUGAGCAAAGUUAAUUAAAAAUUAUUGUAUUUGGCGGCAUUUUUUUACCAUGUGACCACAUGCAUAUUGUAAUUGAUGUAGAUAUGGGUCAAGAGCUUGCGGAUAUCUUUUUCGGUAUCGAGGUAUUAUUCGCUUCGAUUGGAUCCGGAUUGGGAGCAUGCCCGAUGGUCCCCACCGGGGUGGGCCCGACGCCACGUGGGUGGCGGCCUCACGGUUUUGUCCUUUCACCCCCCAGAGAGGGAAAAGAUAUCUCGUGAGGGAAGAAGAUUCUCUUGGACUACUUAAGGCCAUAGACACUCUUGAUAUAUCCGAUGUGGGACUUUCGAGAGUUGCCCUCACGAGAUCUACCCACAACACAGCCCUCCUGUCAAGAGGGUGCUAUGGCAUCUAAGCACAUCCAACAUGCAUGCACAAGGCUGC